UCCUUGGUGGUCCAGUGGUUAAGACUUGGCCCUUUCACUGCCAGGGCCCAGGUCCAAAUCCUGGUAGGGGAA
rfam:TPA: Bos taurus chromosome 10, whole genome shotgun sequence.